GUCAUCCUGGGCUCUCUGUCGUCUAGCAGGCCUGAUGCACAGAGGGGAAAUGGGCCUGCCUCCCCCACCCUGACUCACUACAGGUCCAUGGCACCCAGCCAGAGCCCACAACUUGUUCACAGCUUUUUGGAAGUUCUACAUUCUUCCUCUCUGCUCUGCCAGCUGAGACAAUUCCUCUCUCCUGCAUCUGGUCUCUGGACUGGGCCCAGACCACCCUACUACCAUUAGCACUGCAAGAUAGAUGAGGUGGAGAGACAGAGCUGGGACCCUGAGCCCACCCUGGCAUUCUCUUUGCUCAACAUCAGGCUCCUUUCCCCUCAUCCCUGCAGGAACUCUGGCUGCCUGGCAGCCUGUGGGGCACAGGAUUUGGAAGGCAUAAAGCUCUUCGGAGGUGAGCCAGGGCAACCUUCUUGGGGUAGAAGAGGAGAAACAGAGGCCUGGAUGUAGGCAAGAGAUCUAUUCCAGAUCACAUUCAGCAGACUGAAAUCCAGGACAACCUGUCCAAGGGUAGCACCAUCGCAGAUGAGCUGGGCCCUCCCACAUCAAUCAUUAAUCAAGAAAAUGCCCUAUAGACUUGCCUUCAGGCCAUUCUGAUGGAGACAUUUUCUCAAUCAAGAAUUCUCUUUCCAGCUUUCUAAAUGAGCAAUCUGCAUCAAGCCAGAGGAACGAGGAAGAAAGUGAGGUGCACCCUGACCUCAGAUGUCUGUCUUCCGUCAUCAGAGCAGUUUCUUGCUCUUCCGGACUCGGAUGGCCGUGUUAAACCCCACAUGUGGUUCUGUGGUUGCCCACAAAGCUUAAAAAUAGCCAACAGGAACAGGGGAAUCCCCACUGGUGAGUAGGGCUGGCCGUUCCCCAGGUGUCUGCUGACCAGCCUCCCUCAUGUACUAUCUAGAGAGAGCUGGGUAUCUAGGAGGGUGUCCUGGAGGCCAUGCUGAUCCUGGAACACACGUUAUUUUCAUACCUCUGGGCAGAUGAGGAAACUGAGCCUCUAAGAGAUGAAAUACCCCAUUUGAAGCUAAGGAGUGUGGAUCUCUCACCCCUACUGUGGCUUGUUUAUCUUGAGCUGGGGACACAAGAAAAAGAACAGGCCCUUCAGAGCCACAUAGACUUUGCUUCCAACUGCAGCCACCCUGGCCACUCCUGGUGGCCUCAGCUGUACCAUAGGGGCUGUGUUGCCCACUUGUAGGAGGAUUGUGGUGGGGAUCCAGGGAAAUAAGGCCCUUGGCACCCACAGCAGGUCCAUCACUGCUACCAGAACUCAGCGUACAGUUUCUGGCCUUCCACCACUUGAGACCAAGCUUCCAAAGUAGGAAGAGUGUGUCCCCCAUCAAAGAAGUGAAAGCACCCACAAAAGCCCCAGAGUGCAGGCCCCUGUGACAGACUAUAACCUUCUAUAGCUGACUUCUGGAGUAGUUCCAGUUCUUUGAACUGAAACCUUAUCAUUCACCAUGGGGAGAUGGAGUCCAUCAACCCUCAUCUGGGGACUGUCACCUUUGGAAUUUCCUCAAUGAAGAGGAUGUGGCAGAAGUGACGUCACAUCACUUCCUAAGCUUAACCUUAACUGAUGGCUGGUGAUGAGGAUGAUGACAUCCCGUCGUGAGAAAGCCCCUGCCUCAGCUAAAGUCACAGCCGACAGCCAACCUCAGCAGCGCGACAUGCCUGUGAAAAGUCCUUCAUAUGAUUCUGUCCACCAGACUUCCUCCCAGCCUAGUAAAGAUCACUUAGAGCAGAAGCCAACUGAACCUGAACCCUGCCAGAAGGCAGGUUUGAAAGCAAAACAAAUGUCACUGUUUCAAGCCACUGUCUCAGGUGGCUGGUGACUCAACACUGGAUCACAAGGAUAGCCUUGCAGCUCAUGGUGGCAGGACCUGCAGUCACCCCUCCUGGUUCUGUGUCACAGGUAGAAUUGCAGAGCUCAGGUUAGGGCCCUUGGACCAACUUUUAUGAUAAAUCCCUGUUUGUCAUAUGAGAGUCUCUCAGGGGACCUGGGUUUUGAAUGAAUCAGCUGAGAGGAAGGAGGGGUAAGUUUUAAGGGGUCUGGACAGAGAGGAGUUUGGAGAGGCCCCACUCUGUGUGCUCCAUCCAGUAAGGACUUCUCCUCAGGCUGCUCACGGACUGAUCAAAGUACAAGAGGAAGCCAAGUAGCUCUGGUCGGGCCCUGGUAGGCUCUGCCAAGGGUGAAUGGGAGCAGCAGAGGAGGGAACAGCCUGCAGGAGCUGAAACAGUGGAACACACCAGACGGGGUUGAGCAAGAGGUCUGCCUCUGAGACUUCUCAGAAAACAGGCAGCAUGCCCUCCCUCUCCCCCUCCCUCUCCCUCCUGGCCCUAUCUAGAGAGAUUAAGUCAGGGAGGUUCCCAGACCGGAGGCGGAGGCAUCCUUAUCAGCCAUGUCUGGGGUACUUGGGAAUGUGAACCCUCCUGCCUGCGGCCCAGCCCUGAGAAGACACCCAGCAGAUGAAGUGUGUCUUGCUCCUGCAGGCCUGCCAACAAUGGCUCCAGGGUCCUCCUCAUCCAUACGCAAGAUGUGUGCUGCCUCUUGAAGCUUUUCUGUCAGUGUGGCCCUGACCAACAUACCCUGUGAAGAAGAUGGCCUGCCUGGAGGAGAGUAGCAUGGCGCACAGUCUGGUGAGCCUUGGGAUCUGCAGAGCACCCUUUCAUACCUCUUGCCGUAUGCCAGGUGCCACUUUGAGUGAUCUUCAUGCAUCACCUCAUGUAAUUCCCACAACCCCCCGCUCCCUACCACCCCCCACGUCAUUUCUUCUUUGUGGAGAAGGAAACUAGGGUGCUGGCCCAAGCAGCAGAGCUGUGGAUACAGUGCACACUAGAAGACUCAGAUGGGGGUUCAGAUCCCCAAAUGCCACCCUAUUGUAAGAAACAGACAAGCAAGGCUGGGCGUUCAAGGAACCUGACAUACCCAGAGCCUCCAAGGGCUUCCCAUCACCAUCAAGGCUUUCAUGCCUAUGGAGAAAUGAGAAGUUGAGGACAUAGGAGGGCCUUGAUUCCACCCUCUGGGAAAAUCUUUGGAAGAUAUGACCCUUGGAAUAUCAGGAGGGUUUGAUAGAUAGAUUGAAUAGAGAGAAGAGUGAAUCCUGGGCAGAGGGAGUUGGAAGGUGAAAAUCCAGAGGUCUGGCUCCUGUGAGGAAUAGUGCCAGUUGGAGGGGCUGGAGAACAACAUCUCUCAGGACUGCAAGAGCCAGCAAGAUAGUAAGGGCCGUCAUGCUUAUGCGGAAAAAUUAGAUUUUACCCCAAGUGCAAUGAACUAUGGAAGAGUUUUGAAGAGAGGAGGACUGUGAUUAGUCACAUGUCCAAAAGAAGAUAUUGUGAAGAGCAGAACGCCAGUGUAGCACUAUAGCCCAAGAGACCAGGGGAGGACCAGCCCCAGAAGUACUUAGGACCAGCCAUAUCCUGCAGCUCGUAAAAAAGGAGAAAGCCGACCGGCCUGACCCCUACCAAGAGCCCUCAUCCAGUGGCUGAUGGAAGCAGAGGCAGACACCCACAGAUAUACACUGAACUGAACUCUGGAACAUAGUUGCAGAGAGGAAGAAAUGAAGAUCAAAGGGGUCAGUACCAGGCUGGUGAAACCCACAGAAACAGCUGGCCAGAACAAGGAGGAGCACAUGGACCACAGACUGCUGUCUGGGAGGCCAGCACAGGACUGAUCCAGACCCCUGAACAUGGAUGUCAAUGAGGAGGCCUCCACACUCUAGGGGGCCCCUGGUAAUGGAUUAGUAUUUUUCCCUGGUGUAAGAAGGGACUAAGCCCAUCCCACUUGAAGGGAUGUACUCUUGGCUUGGACACGUGGGGGAGGGCCUCGGCCCAGCCCAGGAUGAUGUGGUGGACUUUGGGGAGCCCCAGUUGACAUCCCCACCCUGCCUGGGGAG
rnacentral:lncRNA from 1 species